GGUGGGUACGGGCAGACUAGAGUGAUGUAGGGGAGACUGGAAUUCCUGGUGUAGCGGUGAAAUGCGCAGAUAUCAGGAGGAACACCGAUGGCGAAGGCAGGUCUCUGGGCAUUAACUGACGCUGAGGAGCGAAAGCAUGGGGAGCGAACAGGAUUAGAUACCCUGGUAGUCCAUGCCGUAAACGUUGGGCACUAGGUGUGGGGGACAUUCCACGUUUUCCGCGCCGUAGCUAACGCAUUAAGUGCCCCGCCUGGGGAGUACGGCCGCAAGGCUAAAACUCAAAGGAAUUGACGGGGGCCCGCACAAGCGGCGGAGCAUGCGGAUUAAUUCGAUGCAACGCGAAGAACCUUACCAAGGCUUGACAUGAACCGGUAAGACCUGGAAACAGGUCCCCCGCUUGCGGUCGGUUUACAGGUGGUGCAUGGUUGUCGUCAGCUCGUGUCGUGAGAUGUUGGGUUAAGUCCCGCAACGAGCGCAACCCUCGUUCUAUGUUGCCAGCACGUGAUGGUGGGGACUCAUAGGAGACUGCCGGGGUCAACUCGGAGGAAGGUGGGGACGACGUCAAAUCAUCAUGCCCCUUAUGUCUUGGGCUUCACGCAUGCUACAAUGGCCGGUACAAAGGGUUGCGAUACUGUGAGGUGGAGCUAAUCCCAAAAAGCCGGUCUCAGUUCGGAUUGGGGUCUGCAACUCGACCCCAUGAAGUCGGAGUCGCUAGUAAUCGCAGAUCAGCAACGCUGCGGUGAAUACGUUCCCGGGCCUUGUACACACCGCCCGUCAAGUCACGAAAGUUGGUAACACCCGAAGCCGGUGGCCUAACCCCUUGUGGGAGG
rnacentral:rRNA from 1 species